UGACCCAGAGCAGACAUCAACAGCAUCUACUCUCUUGUCAACUACCAGUGUGUGCAGUGCAGCAACAGCUCAGUGUCAGCUAAGACCUUAGGAAAAACCCAGAACCUUACUUCCGACCUGCUGGCUCACAGUAUGCGCUCAUUUCCAUACAUUAAUGCUACGAAACGGAACCCUGGCUGGGAGUGACAGAGGAGUCCAUCAUUCCUGUCUUGUUUAUAUCCUUCCCUUUUGUCCAUGCUACCCAAGAAGAUGCUCUUCUCUCAGAAUCUCAGCUUUGCCUGGCGGGUGCACAGUAGGGAAUGAGAAGGCAGUGCCGCAAAAGUUCCUUCUCCCGUGUGUGUUCUUCAAGUAGCUCCCUUCCAGGUCCCGAGGACUUCUCUUCCUGAAAGAAACAGAGAGGUGAGGAGCUACAUUUCUGCAGCUGGCCAUGUCUCCGCCUAAUUCGCUCCUUCUCAGUGUCACCUCAGCAGAUCACGAUAGCCGCCCAGUGAAUUGACUCUACACUCCUAUUCCUGCGUGAUCUGAGCCCCCAGAACACCUGGAGAAAGAAUGCUAAAAUGUGUUUGCUUCCCCCCCCCCCACUGCAGCUUUCCUUCCUGAUAACCAGGGACAAUUACCUCACCUCUUCUGGCUUGCUGAUCUCUUGGAAACAGAAGUCCAAAGUUCCUCAGUGGCACCUCUAACCUGUAGUUCAAUAAAACAUGUGAUAAUUG